GGGGCCUUAGCUCUGGUGGGAGAGCGCCUGCCUUGCACGCAGGAGGUCAGCGGUUCGAUCCCGCUAGGCUCCACCA
rnacentral:tRNA from 1 species